AGGUGACUUGAUUGUGAACAUUUUUGCUGCUUCCGAAAGCAAAAUUGUAUGAGCUACAGUUUUAUCAGUGCCACGUACUCUUACUUCAGCACGUUAUCCAUCUUAUGUGGAGUUGCAGGAUACAAAAUGAGUCUGACAUGAUUUUUCUUCUAUCAAAAAUGAACUUGGGCCAAGAUUCACCAUUCCAGAAUGCUUUCAAAACACUUAUGUGUACUGUAACAAGUGGCCGUAUCUGGUCCUCAGCUCUCCUCCCUCCCAGUGCCUACCCACCUGCUGCGUGGCUGGAGGGAUGCUUGCCUUGUGGCACAGACUUGGCAUGGCAUCCUCUUGCAGAGGCUCCCUGCAACUAGGACUCCUGGCACACAGCAGUUCCAUUGCCCUUGGGAACUUGCGCUA